AACGAACGCUGGCGGCAUGCCUAACACAUGCAAGUCGAACGAGACCUUCGGGUCUAGUGGCGCACGGGUGCGUAACGCGUGGGAACCUGCCCUUAGGUUCGGAAUAACUCCCCGAAAGGGGUGCUAAUACCGGAUAAUGUCUUCGGACCAAAGAUUUAUCGCCUUUGGAUGGACCCGCGUUGGAUUAGCUAGUUGGUAGGGUAAAAGCCUACCAAGGCGACGAUCCAUAGCUGGUCUGAGAGGAUGAUCAGCCACACUGGGACUGAGACACGGCCCAGAAUCCUACGGGAGGCAGCAGUGGGGAAUAUUGGACAAUGGGCGGAGGCCUGAUCCAGCAAUGCCGCGUGAGUGAUGAAGGCCUUAGGGUUGUAAAGCUCUUUUAACCGGGAUGAUAAUGACAGUACCGGGAGAAUAAGCUCCGGCUAACUCCGUG
rnacentral:rRNA from 1 species